ACCCGCUGAACUUAAGCAUAUCAAUAAGCGGAGGAAAAGAAACUAACAAGGAUUCCCCUAGUAACUGCGAGUGAAGCGGGAAAAGCUCAAAUUUAAAAUCUGGUGGUCCUCGCGGCCAUCCGAGUUGUAAUCUGGAGAAGUGUUUUCCGCGCUGGACCGUGUACAAGUCUCCUGGAACGGAGCGUCAUAGAGGGUGAGAAUCCCGUCUUUGACACGGACUACCAGUGCUUAUGUGAUACGCUCUCAAAGAGUCGAGUUGUUUGGGAAUGCAGCUCAAAAUGGGUGGUAAAUUCCAUCUAAAGCUAAAUAUUGGCGAGAGACCGAUAGCGAACAAGUACCGUGAGGGAAAGAUGAAAAGAACUUUGGAAAGAGAGUUAAACAGUACGUGAAAUUGUUAAAAGGGAAACGCUUGAAGUCAGUCGCGUUGGCCAGGGAUCAACCUUGCAUUUAUGUUGGGUGCACUUUCUGGUCGAUGGGUCAACAUCAGUUUUGAUUGCUGGAUAAAAGUCUUGGGAAUGUGGCAUCCUCGGAUGUGUUAUAGCCCUUGGUUACAUACAGUGGUUGGGACUGAGGAACUCAGCACGCCUUUAUGGUCGGGAUUUAUCCACGAAUGUGCUUAGGAUGUUGGCAUAAUGGCUUUAAUCGACCCGUCUUGAAACACGG
rnacentral:rRNA from 1 species